AGAGCGUAUGGUGGAUGCCUUGGCACUAAGAGCCGAUGAAAGACGUGAUAAGCUGCGAAAAGCUUCGGGGAGGAGCAAAUAUCCUUUGAUCCGGAGAUUUCUGAAUGGGGAAACCUACUUGAGCAAACCUCAAGUAUCCUUAAGCCAAUACAUAACUUAAGGAAGGGAACCCGGUGAACUGAAACAUCUAAGUAGCCGGAGGAAGAGAAAACAACAUGUGAUUCUGUGAGUAGCGGCGAGCGAAAACGGAAGAGCCCAAACCAGCGUGCGUGCAUGCUGGGGUUCGGACCGCGGAAUUGAUUCAACAAGUUUAGCAGAACGGUUUUGGGAAAGCCGGCCAGAGAGGGUGAAAGCCCCGUAAGCGAAAGACGAGUUGACAUGGCGGGAUCCAGAGUACCACGAGACACGUGGAACCUUGUGGGAAGAUGCGGGGACCACCCCGUAAGGCUAAAUACUACUUAGUGACCGAUAGCGCAUAGUACUGUGAAGGAAAGGUGAAAAGGACCCCGGGAGGGGAGUGAAAAAGAACCUGAAACCAUAUGUUUACAAGCUGUGGAAGAGCUUUAUAUGCUCAACCGCGUACUUUUUGUAGAACGGUCCGGCGAGUUACGCUGGCUGGCGAGGUUAAGGACUAAAGGUCCGGAGCCGAAGGGAAACCAAGUCUGAAUAGGGCGCAUAGUCAGUCGGAGUAGACCCGAAACCGGGUGAUCUAUCCAUGUCCAGGUUGAAGUUGCCGUAAAAGGCAAUGGAGGACCGAACCCACAUCCGUUGAAAAGGGUGGGGAUGAGGUGUGGAUAGGGGAGAAAUUCCAAUCGAACCCGGAGAUAGCUGGUUCUCCUCGAAAUAGCUUUAGGGCUAGCCUCAUACGAGUCUUGCGGAGGUAGAGCACUGAAUUCCUAAGGGGGCGUCAAAGCUUACUAAGGGAUAUCAAACUCCGAAUGCCGUGUAGAUGAUGUAUGGGAGUCAGACGAUCCGAGAUAAGUUGGGUGGUCAAAAGGGAAAGAGCCCAGACCAACAGCUAAGGCCCCAAAAUGUGUGUUAAGUGGAAAAGGAUGUGGGAUUUCGAAGACAACUAGGAUGUUGGCUCAGAAGCAGCCAUUCAUUCAAAGAGUGCGUAAUAGCUCACUAGUCGAGAGGUCCUGCGCCGAAAAUGUCCGGGGCUAAAACACACUGCCGAAGCUUUGGAAUUGAAUUAAUUCAAUUGGUAGAGGAGCAUUCUUAAAGGGACGAAGCAGUACCGUAAGGAGCUGUGGACUUUUAAGAAGAGAGAAUGCCGGAAUGAGUAGCGAGAGGAAGGUGGGAAUCCUUCCGGCCGAAUAUCUAAGGUUUCCAGAGUAAAGCUGAUCUGCUCUGGGUAAGUCGGGGCCUAAGGCGAGGUCGAAAGACGUAGUCGAUGGAUAACAGGUUGAAAUUCCUGUACUAUCCUGUAACAGAACUGUGGGGACACAGGCAGAGAGCNNNNNNNNNNAAUGUCCGGGGCUAAAACACACUGCCGAAGCUUUGGAAUUGAAUUAAUUCAAUUGGUAGAGGAGCAUUCUUAAAGGGACGAAGCAGUACCGUAAGGAGCUGUGGACUUUUAAGAAGAGAGAAUGCCGGAAUGAGUAGCGAGAGGAAGGUGGGAAUCCUUCCGGCCGAAUAUCUAAGGUUUCCAGAGUAAAGCUGAUCUGCUCUGGGUAAGUCGGGGCCUAAGGCGAGGUCGAAAGACGUAGUCGAUGGAUAACAGGUUGAAAUUCCUGUACUAUCCUGUAACAGAACUGUGGGGACACAGGCAGAGAGCGUGAGCCGGGAAUGGAAAGACCGGUACAAGCGAGGUAGGAGAAGAGUUGGCAAAUCCGCUCUUCAAUCUGAAGACGUGAUGUGGACUGAAAAUAAGUAGGGAAGCACGUGAGCUGACUGUCAAGAAAAGCCGCUAUUGUUUGCAGGAUACCCGUACCGUAAACCGACACAGGUGGAUGAGGAGAGAAUCCUAAGGCCGACGGGAGAAGCAUUGUUAAGGAACUCGGCAAAAUGACUCCGUAACUUCGGGAGAAGGAGUGCCAGUAAGAUGGCCGCAGAGAAUUGGCCCAAGCAACUGUUUAGCAAAAACACAGGUCUAUGCAAAACCGAAAGGUGAGGUAUAUGGGCUGACGCCUGCCCGGUGCUGGAAGGUUAAGGGGAGAGGUUAGCGCAAGCGAAGCUUUGAACUUAAGCCCCAGUAAACGGCGGCCGUAACUAUAACGGUCCUAAGGUAGCGAAAUUCCUUGUCGGGUAAGUUCCGACCCGCACGAAAGGCGUAAUGAUUUGGGCACUGUCUCAACAAUGCACCCGGUGAAAUUGAAAUACCAGUGAAGAUGCUGGUUACCUGCGCCAGGACGGAAAGACCCCAUGGAGCUUUACUCCAGCUUGAUACUGGGAUUCGGUAUUGCAUGUACAGGAUAGGUGGGAGGCUAGGAAAUGGUAACGCCAGUUGCCAUGGAGCCGAUGUUGGGAUACCACCCUUGCAGUACUGGGUUUCUAACCAGCAGCCGUGAUCCGGCUGGGGGACAAUGUCAGGUGGGGAGUUUGACUGGGGCGGUCGCAUCCGAAAGGGUAUCGGAGGCGCUCAAAGGUUCCCUCAGAAUGGUUGGAAACCAUUCGAAGAGUGCAAAGGCAGAAGGGAGCUUGACUGCGACACCGACGGGUGGAGCAGGUACGAAAGUAGGACUUAGUGAUCCGGUGGUAUAAAGUGGGAUUGCCAUCGCUCAACGGAUAAAAGCUACCCUGGGGAUAACAGGCUUAUCACUCCCAAGAGUUCACAUCGACGGAGUGGUUUGGCACCUCGAUGUCGGCUCAUCGCAUCCUGGGGCUGAAGUAGGUCCCAAGGGUUGGGCUGUUCGCCCAUUAAAGCGGUACGCGAGCUGGGUUCAGAACGUCGUGAGACAGUUCGGUCCCUAUCCGGCGUGGGCGUAAGAUAUUUGAGAGGAGCUGUCCUUAGUACGAGAGGACCGGGAUGGACUGGCCGCUGGUGUAUCUGUUGUCUUACCAAAGGCAUAGCAGAGUAGCCAAGCCGGGAAGGGAUAAACGCUGAAGGCAUCUAAGCGUGAAGCCCCCCUCAAGAUGAGAUAUCUCAUAACGUCAAGUUAGUAAGACCCCUUGA
rnacentral:rRNA from 1 species